AAGGGUUUAGGGUUUCGGCGGUUGCUUGAUGAGCGGCGGUAAUAGGUUUUGAAGAGCGACGAUGAAGGUGUGGAAAGGGUUUCGCAGUGGUGAAGAGGUGAAGAUCAUAGAGGGAAGGUGAGGCGAUGUUGUUGGUUAAACGCGGGUUACCGACGGAGGAAGGGAUUGCGUAUGGGUUUUCUGAGAGAGAGCCCAGUGAAUAGUGAGUGGUCUCUUAGGAAGAGGAAAAGGUUUUACUGAGUGAUGUGAGUGUUUUUUCUUAUGCUGAGAGUGAGAGAAUGAGGAGAUGGUGGAGUGAAUCGUGCCCGAGUGAGAGAGCGAGGAUCAUUUGUAGGGAUUCUCUUUUUUGUUUUUUUCUUUUCUUUUUCGUACAGUAGAGGGAAAGAGGAGGUAGUGGAGCAGGGUCUUGUUGGUAGUGGGGGAGUGGAUGAUGAGAGACGUUGGGAGCGUGAGAAGCUAACAGUCUUUUUGUUUUUAUUGGUAGUGGGGGAGUGGAUGAUGAGAGACGUUGGGAGCGUGAGAAGCUAACAGUCUUUUUGUUUUUUCCUCAUAGAAUCCAAUGUACAUUAUAUACAAUUAUUAUUACAAAUUAAUAUUAAAAAAAAUCUAACCAUUAUUUUAAAAACUAACUAACUAUUUAUAGACAAACUAAUUACUAAACUAAUUAUUAUAUAAUUAAAUAAUUAAUAUGAAAAAACUAAUUAAUACCUAAAAAAAA
rnacentral:lncRNA from 1 species